rnacentral:rRNA from 1 species
UACGGGAGGCAGCAGUGAGGAAUAUUGGACAAUGGAGGCAACUCUGAUCCAGCCAUGCCGCGUGCAGGAAGACUGCCCUAUGGGUUGUAAACUGCUUUUAUACAGGAAGAAACCUUUCCACGUGUGGAGAGCUGACGGUACUGUAAGAAUAAGGAUCGGCUAACUCCGUGCCAGCAGCCGCGGUAAUACGGAGGAUCCAAGCGUUAUCCGGAAUCAUUGGGUUUAAAGGGUCCGUAGGUUGAUAAUUAAGUCAGAGGUGAAAGUUUGCGGCUCAACCGUAAAAUUGCCUUUGAUACUGGUUAUCUUGAAUCAUUGUGAAGUGGUUAGAAUAUGUAGUGUAGCGGUGAAAUGCAUAGAUAUUACAUAGAAUACCAAUUGCGAAGGCAGAUCACUAACAAUGUAUUGACACUGAUGGACGAAAGCGUGGGGAGCGAACGGGAUUAGAUACCCCGGUAGUCCACGCCGUAAACGAUGGUCACUAGCUGUUCGAACUUCGGUUUGAGUGGCUAAGCGAAAGUGAUAAGUGACCCACCUGGGGAGUACGUUCGCAAGAAUGAAACUCAAAGGAAUUGACGGGGGCCCGCACAAGCGGUGGAGCAUGUGGUUUAAUUCNAUGAUACGCGAGGAACCUUACCAGGGCUUAAAU